rfam:Salmo salar isolate Sally breed double haploid chromosome ssa15, whole genome shotgun sequence.
UGCGUUUACUACUGUAAGUUGCUCUGGAUAAGAGCGUCUGCUAAAAUGUCUCAAA